rnacentral:lncRNA from 1 species
GGAUGAAACCCUAGGGCGCCCCACCCCUCUAUUUAUAGAGGUUCCUGAUGGGCCUCUGGUUCCAAGGCCCAUUAGUACUUCUAAUCCUGAUCCAACUUAGAUCAUAUCCGAAUUGGGCUUCCAGCCCCUUAAAUGUGUGACCCUAUGGGUUCGGAUACGUAUAGACAUGGCCCGAGUACUCCUACUCAGCCCAAUAGUUGGUAGCGGCCUCUAACAAGACGUGCCAACUCCUAUACGCACACGAAGAUCAUAUCAGACGAACCGUCACAACAUCAUGUGCAUGCUAUUCCCUUUGCCUCACGAUAUUUGGUCUAUCUUCAAGCCGAC